UGGGAGUCACUGUACACUUGCUCCCCAUACUAAAUAUAGAAAGGCUUUUUGCUUCCAGAGAUUGGACUCCAACUCUGUGAAGACACUUGGGGAUACUGCAGAACAUGUCCUACGCCCUACUUCCUGCUUCUUUCAUAUCUCAAAGAUAGAAGACUGAUUACAGUGCCUGGAAAUCCCUCAGAUUAUUAAUACUAAUGCUUACAAGAACCUGAAUUUUUCUUUAUUUUGAAAACAUUUGCUGCAUGCAUCCUGUGUACCGGCAAGUGCUAAAUGCUUUAUGUUCAUUUAUCUAAGUAAAUAAAUGAGUGCUCUGGGAGAAAACACAUUAA